AGCAUAUGAUGUGAGAUCUAUAUUUGCUACUCUUGAUGGGUGCUCCCCAGUUGAUGAUCGUAACCACCAAGAUCUCUGAGGCC
rfam:Triticum aestivum genome assembly, contig: Triticum_aestivum_CS42_TGACv1_scaffold_093856_2AL